AGUGGGGUGGCUGAGAUAAAUGAGUAGGUGAUAGGCUGUAAAUCUAUUUAGGGAUAUUUACGUUUAUCCUCCCACUA
rnacentral:tRNA from 1 species